rnacentral:lncRNA from 1 species
GGAGGACUGUGUGUGCCACUGCGGGGUCAUCUCAGGACAUGCGGUGAAAGUGAACAGCCACGACCAGAGACAGAAGAGCAGGGAAAAGGUGCAGGCUUUCAUCAACAGGAGGAGAGGAACACAGACACGCUUCCUUCCAGCCAUGGACAUAAUGGAAACACCAGUCAAAACCACCACAUUCUACCUCUGGGGUGACAGAAAGGACUUUUUUGUUUUUGAGAUGGAGUCUCGCUCUGUCUCCCAGGCUGGAGUGCAG